GUUCGGCUGAGUCUGAGGGUCGCCCCAGCGAGACGAGAACCCCCAAGGUAGCGAAGAAGAAGCAAAGAAAAAUUGAUUCUUCCACCCAUGGAUCGACGAUGGAAGAUCAAUGAUGAACGAAAGAUCCUUCCGGAGAUUGAAGAACCACCACCCUCGGGCUUUUGGGUGGGGUCGGAGGAUGAAGAAUGCUUGGAAGAGAGAAAUGCGGGAAAAGAUCAGCAAAAGCCGACACAAUAAGGCAAAGCUGAUUAUCAACCAGACUG
rnacentral:lncRNA from 1 species